rnacentral:tRNA from 1 species
GGUAGGAUAUCCAAGUGGCUAAAGGGCGCAGACUGUAAAUCUGUUAGGUUCAUUCCUUACGGGGGUUCGAAUCCCUCUCCUACCACCA